ACACAUGCAAGUCGAGCGGAGAUGAGGUGCUUGCACCUUAUCUUAGCGGCGGACGGGUGAGUAAUGCUUAGGAAUCUGCCUAUUAGUGGGGGACAACAUUCCGAAAGGAAUGCUAAUACCGCAUACGUCCUACGGGAGAAAGCAGGGGAUCUUCGGACCUUGCGCUAAUAGAUGAGCCUAAGUCGGAUUAGCUAGUUGGUGGGGUAAAGGCCUACCAAGGCGACGAUCUGUAGCGGGUCUGAGAGGAUGAUCCGCCACACUGGGACUGAGACNCGGCCCANACUCCUACGGGAGGCAGCAGUGGGGAAUAUUGGACAAUGGGGGGAACCCUGAUCCAGCCAUGCCGCGUGUGUGAAGAAGGCCUUAUGGUUGUAAAGCACUUUAAGCGAGGAGGAGGCUACUGAGACUAAUACUCUUGGAUAGUGGACGUUACUCGCAGAAUAAGCACCGGCUAACUCUGUGCCAGCA
rnacentral:rRNA from 1 species